GACGAACGCUGGCGGCGCGCCUAACACAUGCAAGUCGAACGAGCGAGCGAGAGCUUGCUUUCUUGAGCGAGUGGCGAACGGGUGAGUAACGCGUGAGGAACCUGCCUCAAAGAGGGGGACAACAGUUGGAAACGACUGCUAAUACCGCAUAAGCCCACGGUGCCGCAUGGCACAGAGGGAAAAGGAGCAAUCCGCUUUGAGAUGGCCUCGCGUCCGAUUAGCUAGUUGGUGAGGUAACGGCCCACCAAGGCGACGAUCGGUAGCCGGACUGAGAGGUUGAACGGCCACAUUGGGAGUGAGACACGGCCCAGACUCCUACGGGAGGCAGCAGUGGGGAAUAUUGCAAAAUGGGGGAAACCCUGAUGCAGCGACGCCGCGUGGAGGAAGAAGGUCUUCGGAUUGUAAACUCCUGUUGUUGGGGAAGAUAAUGACGGUACCCAACAAGGAAGUGACGGCUAACUACGUG
rnacentral:rRNA from 1 species